rnacentral:lncRNA from 1 species
CUUUAUUGGCAUAAAUCACAGGAAUUGAAAUGGGAAAAGCCAGGUUGGAAGUUUACAGAGAAAAAAUAAAAUCAAAAUCAAAUUUUCAAAUAACCAUUGACUCAGAGAAUGGACCCCAGAAACCCCAGUCCCUCUUGGGGAAGAUCUAGGGUGGGUCACUAUAAACAGAGCGGUAAGGCCUGUGGGUGAAAGUGGAGACAUCAGACCUUUGGAGGGGCCGGGCUGACCUUCCCCCACAAAGGAGGGACCCUCUUUGGAGACCCCAGCACACACUCGGCUUCUGCCAGGAGGCCAGUGGAGUGGUUUGGACUGUCACCGUUAGACCCCGGUGGGGCCCCUUUCUCCUGAUCAGGAGCCCAAGGCCUGGCUCCUCUUUCAUCCUUGGUAAAGAGCUCUGGGGGGUUUCCCCAGAGGAGCCUGUCCCUCUGCCCCAAAUCCUAUCAUGCUCCCUUAUGACCUUCUUUCCAGACCCCCUGAGUGCCGAUCCCACCUGUGAAAGGGGAGGAGCAGAUCUGGGGAAGGGAUAUGCCCAGAGGAAAUCAACAAGACCAAAGAGACGUCAGAGUCCUGAUGGCCAAAAUCAGACACCAGCUUUCCUGAGAAGGCAGAAGAGAGAGCCCCAUAGAAGCAGUGGGGGCUCAGAAGAAACAGAACAGAUGAAGUUCAGAAUUCUAGGCCCAAAAGGGUGCAACACCCUUCAACCAGUUUCAGUGAAGAGCUUGCUGGCCUGGGAAGUAAAGAAGGGGUUUCCAAAUACAGCAGUUUAUAAAACAGUCCUGGUGAGCUAUGAAGUGAAAGAGGGGGAGUCACAGAGCUGCUCCCAGUUCACCUGCUUGUGCUAAGAAACAAUAAAAUACAAAUUGCUUCCCCACCCCAACCCUCAGUACAAAGCAAACUUCACACCAGAGCCACCAUCAGUGACAGGCCCAGUGGCGGUGGAUGAGGAAGAGAAUACAAAAGGGAACGUCUUUAAAAUCUCUUUAAAAUCAUUUUCUAUAGAGAAGUCAAAGCAACUCAGGCGAUAUGAAUUCAAACCUCAGUGUAGAAAUCUAUCAAAGUCGGUACAGUGUCCAGGCACGCCGUCCCGGAGACGGAGGAAGUGACUAGAAAACAUUAUUGCUGGAGAGGCUUUUCUCAGUAGAACAAGAGCAGGUAUAAAAGGGGAGGGCGGGUCUAAAAGGCAGGGGCAGUCGCCAGGCCUAGGGCACUGGAAGGGUAGGAGGAGCACAGAGAACCUUCCAUGGCCCCUUUGGUUCUCUGCCUUUGGAUGGAUGGAUUUAUGCUGGCAUUGUCUGGAGGGAGCCGGGUGUCCCCCAAUAAUCACAGAACAAAGACAAUUAGGUCGGGGGAGGAAUAAGGAUAAAAAGAGACCCCAACAGACCCUGCCUGCCCUUCCCUGCCCACCGGCUGCACUGCUGAAAUAUGAGGAAGAGAUGGCUCCAGUGUGGGGUGCUGGCCAGGCCAGUUCGUGGGGACGUACAUGGGCUGGGGUGGAGCCCCCAGCCUCUACCCCUGGGGAGGAUGGAGAGUGGGCAGCCUAGGGAGAGCUGCAGGAGGGAGGAGGGGGCCCAGAGGCUCUGGCAGGGGUGAAGACAAGCAGGGGGACCCCUCACGGCCCUCUGUCCAUCCCGCACCAGCGGAGGACAAGGGUUCCAGUUUCAGUCGGGUUUACCCCUUCACCCCCGGGUGAAGUCUCUGGGUCACAGUCGCAGUUGGGGAUGCGGGCUGGGGAAGUGGGGCAGAGACAGGGGCAGGGCGCCUAGCAGAAGAGCUUGAGGAAGCAGUUCUGACAGUAAGGCUUGUCGUUCUGCUCCUUGAAGGUGCCCUUGUUGAGCUGCUUGAGGCAGAAGGCACAGACGAAGUGCUCGGGGUGGAACUUCUUGGCCAUGGCGGUG